rnacentral:rRNA from 1 species
CCACCAAAGCAUUCUCUGGUGUUGAAGGCCCUGCAAAGCAGCAUCGCGGUGGCGGAGCGUCGUUUGCGACGCCCAACACACAAAACAAGCGGUGAAUGCUUUGGGGUGGGGUGACUGCGUACCUUUUGUAUAAUGGGUCAGCGACUUAUAUUCUGUAGCAAGGUUAACCGAAUAGGGGAGCCGGAGGGAAACCGAGUCUUAAUUGGGCGUUAAGUUGCAGGGUAUAGACCCGAAACCCGGUGAUCUAGCCAUGGGCAGGUUGAAGGUUGGGUAACACUAACUGGAGGACCGAACCGACUAAUGUUGAAAAAUUAGCGGAUGACCUGUGGCUGGGGGUGAAAGGCCAAUCAAACCGGGAGAUAGCUGGUUCUCCCCGAAAGCUAUUUAGGUAGCGCCUCGUGAAUUCAUCUCCGGGGGUAGAGCACUGUUUCGGCUAGGGGGCCAUCCCGGCUUACCAACCCGAUGCAAACUGCGAAUACCGGAGAAUGUUAUCACGGGAGACACACGGCGGGUGCUAACGUCCGUCGUGAAGAGGGAAACAACCCAGACCGCCAGCUAAGGUCCCAAAGUCAUGGUUAAGUGGGAAACGAUGUGGGAAGGCCCAGACAGCCAGGAUGUUGGCUUAGAAGCAGCCAUCAUUUAAAGAAAGCGUAAUAGCUCACUGGUCGAGUCGGCCUGCGCGGAAGAUGUAACGGGGCUAAACCAU